AGUGAACGCUGGCGGUAGGCCUAACACAUGCAAGUCGAACGGCAGCACAGUAAGAGCUUGCUCUUACGGGUGGCGAGUGGCGGACGGGUGAGGAAUACAUCGGAAUCUACUUUUUCGUGGGGGGUAACGUCGGGAAACUUACGCUAAUACCGCAUACGACCUACGGGUGAAAGCAGGGGAUCUUCGGACCUUGCGCGAUUGAAUGAGCCGCUGUCGGAUUAGCUAGUUGGCGGGGUAAAGGCCCACCAAGGCGACGAUCCGUAGCUGGUCUGAGAGGAUGAUCAGCCACACUGGAACUGAGACACGGUCCAGACUCCUACGGGAGGCAGCAGUGGGGAAUAUUGGACAAUGGGCGCAAGCCUGAUCCAGCCAUACUGCGUGGGUGAAGAAGGCCUUCGGGUUGUAAAGCCCUUUUGUUGGGAAAGAAAAGCAGCAGGUUAAUACCCCGCUGUUCUGACGGUACCCAAAGAAUAAGCACCGGCUAACUUCGUG
rnacentral:rRNA from 1 species